GAUUGAGUUUGAUCCUGGCUCAAGAUGAACGCUGGCGGCGUGCCUAACACAUGCAAGUCGAACGGGGUAUAUAAGCGGAAGUUUACGGAUGGAAGGUUAUAUACUUAGUGGCGGACGGGUGAGUAACGCGUGGGCAACCUGCCCCGUGCCGGGGGAUACCGCCUGGAAACAGGCGCUAAUACCGCAUAAGCGCAUACAGCCGCAUGGGUGUAUGCGGAAAGCUCCGGCGGCACGGGAUGGGCCCGCGCCCGAUUAGCCAGUUGGCGGGGUAACGGCCCACCAAAGCGACGAUCGGUAGCCGGCCUGAGAGGGCGGACGGCCACAUUGGGACUGAGACACGGCCCAAACUCCUACGGGAGGCAGCAGUGGGGAAUAUUGCACAAUGGGGGAAACCCUGAUGCAGCAACGCCGCGUGGGUGAAGGAGCGUUUCGGCGCGUAAAGCCCUGUCAGCGGGGAAGAAGAAAGACGGUACCCGACCAAGAAGCCCCGGCUAACUACGUGCCAGCAGCCGCGGUAAUACGUAGGGGGCGAGCGUUAUCCGGAAUUACUGGGUGUAAAGGGAGCGUAGACGGCGAGGUAAGCCUGAAGUGGAAGCCCGCGGCCCAACCGCGGAACUGCUUUGGGAACUGUUUUGCUGGANUAUGGGGAGGGGUAAGCGGAAUUCCUGGUGUAGCGGUGAAAUGCGUAGAUAUCAGGAGGAACACCCGGUGGCGAAAGCGGCUUACUGGACCAUAACUGACGUUGAGGCU
rnacentral:rRNA from 1 species